AUUUGAGUCAACAAAAACUCCUAGGUCUUUUUCAUAGAUUCCUUCUCCAAUUUCAAUAUCUCCCAUAUGAUAGAGAGCGGCUGCUCUUGAUCCAGGUACUGUCUGAACACCCAGCCUGGGUGAGGCCUCUUCAUAUGGCUGGAACUCUAACCAAGAGGCUCCAAUACUGUCGCUGCAGCUCCAGCUGGCCAGGACCCCCGAGUGCAUGUAAAGGAGAUCACCAUCGGCCCCCUGACCGUGGUGCAUGUGACCCGAGACCAUGCUGUCGUGCUCAGUAAGGAGUCCCUGUACCACCCCCUGCAGCUUGUGGACGUGCCGGUCUCCGCUGUGGCUCUGGCUCUCUCCUGUGCUGUCCUGUUGGCCGUGUUCCUGAAGAGGCGCUCCCAGUCUACUGACAAACUGCUUGCUGUGUCUUCAUAAUGUGUUGGAAUAAUAAAAGCCUUG